rfam:Acromyrmex echinatior unplaced genomic scaffold scaffold21, whole genome shotgun sequence.
CAAACGGCUCUUUUCGGAGCUACCAUAAACUAUCAUCACAGUAUAA